UUAAAAAGCUCGUAGUUGAACCUUGGGCCUGGCUGGCCGGUCCGCCUCACCGCGUGCACUGGUUCGGCCGGGCCUUUCCCUCUGGGGAACCUCAUGCCCUUCACUGGGUGUGAUGGGGAGCCAGGACUUUUACUGUGAAAAAAUUAGAGUGUUCAAAGCAGGCCUAUGCUCGAAUACAUUAGCAUGGAAUAAUAGAAUAGGACGUGUGGUUCUAUUUUGUUGGUUUCUAGGACCGCCGUAAUGAUUAAUAGGGACAGUCGGGGG
rnacentral:rRNA from 1 species